UACUGCAAAAGGGUUUUGGCAACGACUUUACUGUCGUUGCGUCUUCCGUUGCUCAAUGAGCGUUGCUAAUUGUUCCGCAACGAACGUUUUUUUUUCGUUGCCAAAAGUACUAUAUUUUGCAACGAAAUUUGCCUUUCGUAUAGAGACAUCGAUCCUUUAGCAACAAAAUGUAUUGUUGCAGAAUAAUUAAAAUUUCGUUGCUAAAAACUCCAUUUCG
rnacentral:lncRNA from 1 species